rnacentral:rRNA from 1 species
GACGAACGCUGGCGGCGUGCUUAACACAUGCAAGUCGAACGGUAAGGCCCUUCGGGGUACACGAGUGGCGAACGGGUGAGUAACACGUGGGUGAUCUGCCCUGCACUUCGGGAUAAGCCUGGGAAACUGGGUCUAAUACCGGAUAGGACCACUGCCUGCAUGGGUGGUGGUGGAAAGCUUUUGCGGUGUGGGAUGGGCACGCGGCCUAUGAGCUUGUUGGUGGGGUGACGUCCUACCAAGGCGACGACGGGUCGGCGGACUGAGAGGGUGACCGGCCACGCUGAGACUGGGAUACGGCCCAGCCUCCUACGGGAGGCAGCGGUGGGGAAUAUUGCACAAUGGGCGCAAGCCUGAUGCAGCGACGCCGCGUGAGGGAUGACGGCCUUCGGGUUGUAAACCUCUUUCAGCACCGACGAAGCGCAAGUGACGGUAGGUGCAGAAGAAGGACCGGCCAACUACGUGCCAGCCGCCGCCGUAA